rnacentral:rRNA from 1 species
GUUGAACGCUGGCGGCGUGCCUAACACAUGCAAGUCGAGCGAACGGACGAGAAUCUCGCCUCUCUGCUGCUACCGGCGGACGGGUGAUUAAUAGGUGGCUAACCUAUCUAUAAGACUAGGACAACUUCGCGAAACCUUAUCUAACAUCCGACAAUAUUUUGAACCUCAUGGUUCAACAGUGAAAGAGCUUCUUGCUGACACUUAUAGAUGUAUCCGCGCUGCAUUAGCUAGUUGGUAAGGUAACGGCUUACCAAGGCGACGAUGCAUAGCCGACCUGAGAGGAUGAUCAGCCACACUGGAACUGAGACACGGUCCAGACUCCUACGGGAGGCAGCAGUAGGGAAUCUUCCGCAAUGGGCGAAAGCCUGACGGAGCAACGCCGCGUGAGUGAUGAAGGUCUUCGGAUCGUAAAGCUCUGUUAGUAGGGAAGAACAGAAGUGUGAGUAUCUGUGCACAUCUUGACGUUACCUAAAGAGAAAGCCACGGCUAACUACGUG